UACGUAGGGGGCAAGCGUUGUCCGGAUUUAUUGGGCGUAAAGAGCGUGUAGGCGGCUAUACAGGUCCGCUGUGAAAACUCGAGGCUUAACCUCGAGAUGUCAUCGGAAACCAUUUGGCUAGAGUCCGGAAGAGGAAAGUGGAAUUCCUGGUGUAGCGGUGAAAUGCGCAGAUAUCAGGAAGAACACCAAUGGCGAAAGCAGCUUUCUGGGACGGUACUGACGCUGAGACGCGAAAGCGUGGGGAGCGAACAGG
rnacentral:rRNA from 1 species